rnacentral:rRNA from 1 species
UACAGAGGUGGCAAGCGUUGUUCGGAUUUAUUGGGCGUAAAGGGUCCGUAGGCGGUUUGAAAAGUCAGAUGUGAAAUCCCGCAGCUCAACUGCGGAACUGCAUUUGAAACUUUCAGACUAGAGUAUGAGAGGGGUAAAGGGAAUUCCCGGUGUAAGGGUGAAAUCUGCAGAGAUCGGGAGGAACACCAGUCGCGAAGGCGCUUUACUGGCUCAUUACUGACGCUCAGGGACGAAAGCUAGGGUAGCAAACGGGAUUAGAAACCCUGGUAG